rnacentral:rRNA from 1 species
UACGGGGGGGGCAAGCGUUGUUCGGAAUUACUGGGCGUAAAGGGCUCGUAGGCGGCCAACUAAGUCAGACGUGAAAUCCCUCGGCUUAACCGGGGAACUGCGUCUGAUACUGGAUGGCUUGAGUUCGGGAGAGGGAUGCGGAAUUCCAGGUGUAGCAGUGAAAUGCGCAGAUAUCAGGAGGAACACCGGUGGCGAAGGCGGGUCUCUGGGCCGAUACUGACGCUGAGGAGCGAAAGCGUGGGGAGCGAACAGG